rnacentral:rRNA from 1 species
AUUGAACGCUGGCGGCAUGCCUUACACAUGCAAGUCGAACGGUAACGGGCCUUCGGGUGCCGACGAGUGGCGAACGGGUGAGUAAUACAUCGGAACGUGCCCGAUCGUGGGGGAUAACGAGGCGAAAGCUUUGCUAAUACCGCAUACGAUCUACGGAUGAAAGCAGGGGACCGCAAGGCCUUGCGCGGACGGAGCGGCCGAUGGCAGAUUAGGUAGUUGGUGUGAUAAAAGCUUACCAAGCCGACGAUCUGUAGCUGGUCUGAGAGGAUGAUCAGCCACACUGGGACUGAGACACGGCCCAGACUCCUACGGGAGGCAGCAGUGGGGAAUUUUGGACAAUGGGCGCAAGCCUGAUCCAGCCAUGCCGCGUGCAGGAUGAAGGCCUUCGGGUUGUAAACUGCUUUUGUACGGAACGAAAAGCCUUCUUUUAAUACAGGAGGGUCAUGACGGUACCGUAAGAAUAAGCACCGGCUAACUACGUG